GGCACCUUCGGCGGCCGAAACCCCUAAACAGAGCCGAACCUUAAAACACUCGGGGGCAAGCUGUGACAGCCUAAGCCACCAUGCAAGGGGUUCGGCGGCCGAAUGCUCCUUCGGCUGCCGAACCUGAGUUCUUCAAGAACUCAGCUUCACCCGCAACCUAGCUCCUCCAUCCUUUUCACCUCUCUAAACAUGCAUAACACAACUCCUCAACACACAUAUACUCAAGUAUAUGAACAAAGGGGUCUAAAACUAACUUACAACCCCAACAAAACAACAAACAUAACACAUAGACAAG
rnacentral:lncRNA from 1 species